rnacentral:misc_RNA from 1 species
UACGGGGGGGACAAACGUUAUUCGGAUUCACUGGGCGUAAAGCGGGUGUAGGCGGUCCGUUAAGUCGGAUGUGAAAUCCCAGGGCUUAACCCUGGAAUUGCAUCCGAUACUGGCGGACUUGAGGAUGGUAGAGGUCGGUGGAAUUCCCGGUGUACCGGUGAAAUGGGCAGAUAUCGGGAGGAACACCAGUGGCGAAGGCGGCCGACUGGGCCAAUCCUGACGCUGAGACCCGAAAGCCAGGGGAGCGAACCGG